rnacentral:rRNA from 1 species
CGGAGGGUGCAAGCGUUAUCCGGAUUUAUGGGUUUAAAGGGUGCGUAGGCGGAUUGGUAAGUCAGUGGUGAAAUCCUGCAGCUUAACUGCGGAAUUGCCAUUGAUACUGCUAAUCUUGAGUACAGUUGAUGUGGGCGGAAUGUGCGGUGUAGUGGUGAAAUACUUAGAUAUCGCACAGAACACCAAUUGCGAAGGCAGCUCACAAAACUGCAACUGACGCUGAGGCACGAAAGCGCGGGGAGCAAACAGGAUUAGAUACCCUGGUAGUCCGCGCCCUAAACGAUGAUAACUCGCUGUUAGCGAUAUACAGUUAGCGGCUAAGCGAAAGCGUUAAGUUAUCCACCUGGGGAGUACGCCCGCAAGGGUG